rnacentral:rRNA from 1 species
UACGUAGGGGGCAAGCGUUGUCCGGAUUUAUUGGGCGUAAAGAGCGUGUAGGCGGCUAGGUAGGUCCGUUGUGAAAACUCGGGGCUCAACCUCGAGACGCCGGCGGAAACCAUCUAGCUAGAGUCCGGAAGAGGAGAGUGGAAUUCCUGGUGUAGCGGUGAAAUGCGCAGAUAUCAGGAAGAACACCCGUGGCGAAGGCGGCUCACUGGACCGGUUCUGACGCUGAUGCGCGAAAGCGUGGGGAGCAAACGGG